rnacentral:rRNA from 1 species
CUAGCAGUAAACUGUGCGCGCUUGGUUUGUGAUGGUUUGACCCAUUUCGAGCCGUAGCUAACGCGAUAAGCGCGCCGCCUGGGAAGUACGGUCGCAAGACUAAAACUCAAAGAAAUUGACGGGGACCCGCACAAGCGGUGGAGUAUGUGGCUUAAUUCGAUGCAACGCGAAGAACCUUACCUGGGCUUGACAUGCGGCGGACGGUGGUGGAAACAUCACUUUUGAAGAAAUUCAACCGUCGCGCAGGUGC